GUGGGGAAUUUUGGACAAUGGGCGAAAGCCUGAUCCAGCAAUGCCGCGUGAGUGAUGAAGGCCUUAGGGUUGUAAAGCUCUUUUACCCGGGAUGAUAAUGACAGUACCGGGAGAAUAAGCCCCGGCUAACUCCGUGCCAGCAGCCGCGGUAAUACGGAGGGGGCUAGCGUUGUUCGGAAUUACUGGGCGUAAAGCGCGCGUAGGCGGCUUUGUAAGUUAGAGGUGAAAGCCCGGAGCUCAACUCCGGAAUUGCCUUUAAGACUGCAUCGCUAGAAUUGUGGAGAGGUGAGUGGAAUUCCGAGUGUAGAGGUGAAAUUCGUAGAUAUUGGGAGGAACACCGGUGGCGAAGGCGGCCCCCUGGACCGGUACUGACGCUGAGGCGCGAAAGCGUGGGUAGCAAAC
rnacentral:rRNA from 1 species